UUACGGCCACAUCACGUUGAAACACCGGUUCCCGUAGGAUCAUCAAAGUUAAGCAAUGUCGCGCCUGGUCAGUAUCUAGAUGGGUGACCGUUUGGGAAGGCCAGGUGCUGUAAG